CGAAAGCCAAUGAUGAGAAAGAGUACACCUUAAAGCAAUGUCCUAGAGAGUCAGUGUUGGUGGGAACUGAUACAGAACUUGAGGUGGAAUGGGUCUCUGAGGCGCGAUCCGAAAGGCGUCAAGCUAAGUAGAUGAGCCGGGGGUUUCCCGUUACAGAAACACGGAUAUCGAGAGCACAUUUUUAAUUCUCUCCGCAUCCGAUUGAAGUAAAAUUAAGGUGGCACCACGGAAGUUAAACUUUCUGUCCUUUGC
rnacentral:ncRNA from 1 species